AGCCCUUUGGGACUUCCAAUGGGAUCUUAGAAGCAGCAGAAGCAUCGUGAGGGCGGCAGCCCAGGGCCAGCCACGAUUUGAACGCUCUGCCUUGCAGCUCUUCUGGACCGAGGAUCCCAAAGCCCUACCCUCACCAUUCACCAGAAUCUGUCUUAGGAAGCUGUUCUGAGGAUCUCCAUCCCCCCAGAAAGAACUGGCCGUUGUGGAAAUCCAAGUUACGGUUCUUAUCUGAGUGAAUACACAUGGCUCUGUUACGAAAAAGUAAGAUUACAACUUUUGAAAAUAAUGAUUUAAAAACAGAUAUUUGGGGAGGAUGGUUUUGAGGCUCGGGCUUGGCUUUUUUCUUCUUUCUUGGAUUAUCUUUGAUUUUCAUGGAUAGUUUUCCCACAGGCACUUUUUGGCAUCAUCAUUUCUGGAUGAUUCCCAUGGAGAGUUGUUCAGUAUUUUAGUCAGAAGUGAACUUAUUGGCUGGGCGCACUGGCUCACGCCUAUAAUCCUAGCACCUUGGGAGGCCGAGGUGGGCGGAUCAGUUGAGCUCAGGAGUUUGAGACCAGCUUGAGUAACAUGGCGAGACCCCAUCUCUACAAAAAAUACAAAAAUUAGCCAGGCGUGGUGGCGGGCACCUGUAGUCUCAGCUACUCAGGAGGCUGAGGCAGGAAGAUCACUUGAGCCUGGGAGGCAGAGGCUGCAGUGAGCUGAGAUCGCACCACUGCAUGCCAGCCUGGGAGACAGAGUGAGACCCCGUCUCAAAAAAAAAGAAAAGAAGAAGAAGUGGAAGUGAACUUACAACAGGGAUCAUAUAGUUCUAUAAAACUUGCAAAAAUAACGCAUUUU
rnacentral:lncRNA from 1 species